rnacentral:rRNA from 1 species
GAUGAACGCUGGCGGCGUGCCUAAUACAUGCAAGUCGAGCGAACAGACGAGGAGCUUGCUCCUCUGACGUUAGCGGCGGACGGGUGAGUAACACGUGGAUAACCUACCUAUAAGACUGGGAUAACUUCGGGAAACCGGAGCUAAUACCGGAUAAUAUAUUGAACCGCAUGGUUCAAUAGUGAAAGACGGUUUUGCUGUCACUUAUAGAUGGAUCCGCGCCGCAUUAGCUAGUUGGUAAGGUAACGGCUUACCAAGGCGACGAUGCGUAGCCGACCUGAGAGGGUGAUCGGCCACACUGGAACUGAGACACGGUCCAGACUCCUACGGGAGGCAGCAGUAGGGGAUCUUCCGCAAAGGGCGAAAGCCUGACGGAGCAACGCCGCGUGAGUGAUGAAGGUCUCCGGAUCGUAAAACUCUGUUAUUAGGGAAGAACAAAUGUGUAAGUAACUAUGCACGUCUUGACGGUACCUAAUCAGAAAGCCACGGCUAACUACGUG